GGGUGGGUUAGCUCAGUGGUUAGAGCGUAGCUCUUGUGACCGGAAGGUCUUGGGAUCGAAUCCCGGCAGAGGUA
rnacentral:tRNA from 1 species